GUCAGCNGCGGACGGGUGAGGAACACGUNAGNRAUCGGNCUGUGAGURGGGGAUAUCGGGCCGAAAGGCGCGGCAAUCCCGCAUACGUUCCGGGGAACCGGAAGAAAGCUUGGCAACAGGCGCUCACAGGGGAGCUCGCGGCCCAUUAGCUAGUUGGGGGGGUAAUGGCCUACCAAGGCNACGAUGGGUAGCCGGCCUGAGAGGGUGAACGGCCACACUGGGACUGAGACACGGCCCAGACUCCUACGGGAGGCAGCAGUAGGGAAUCUUCCACAAUGGGCGCAAGCCUGAUGGAGCAACGCCGCGUGAGUGAAGACGGCCUUCGGGUUGUAAAGCUCUGUCUGUCGGGACGAAGACCGGCCCGGAAGGGCCGGGGAGCCGGUACCGGCGGAGGAAGCCCCUGCAAACUACGUGCCAGCAGCCGCGGUAAGACGUAGGGGGCAAGCGUUGUCCGGAAUUACUGGGCGUAAAGGGCGUGUAGGCGGUGCGAUACGUAGCGGUUUUAAGCCNCCGGCUCACCCGGRGGAGGGCGGCUA
rnacentral:rRNA from 1 species